AUCAGUAGGGGUUCUGAGAGGAAGGUCCCCCACAUUGGUACUGAGACACGGACCAAACUCCUACGGGAGGCAGCAGUGAGGAAUAUUGGUCAAUGGGCGUAGGCCUGAACCAGCCAAGUAGCGUGCAGGAAGACUGCCCUAUGGGUUGUAAACUGCUUUUAUGCGGGAAUAAAGUCAGGUACGUGUACCUGUUUGCAUGUACCGCAUGAAUAAGGACCGGCUAAUUCCGUGCCAGCAGCCGCGGUAAUACGGAAGGUCCGGGCGUUAUCCGGAUUUAUUGGGUUUAAAGGGAGCGCAGGCGGAGGAUUAAGCGUGACGUGAAAUGUCCCGGCUCAACCGUGGAACUGCGUCGCGAACUGGUUUUCUUGAGUGAGUGCGACGUCGGCGGAAUUCGUGGUGUAGCGGUGAAAUGCUUAGAUAUCACGAAGAACCCCGAUUGCGAAGGCAGCCGACGAGUCCUUAACUGACGCUAAAGCUCGAAAGUGCGGGUAUCGAACAGGAUUAGAUACCCUGGUAGUCCGCACGGUAAACGAUGGAUGCCCGCUGUCUGCGAUACACUGUAGGCGGCCAAGAGAAAUCGUUAAGCAUCCCACCUGGGGAGUACGCCGGCAACGGUGAAACUCAAAGGAAUUGACGGGGGCCCGCACAAGCGGAGGAACAUGUGGUUUAAUUCGAUGAUACGCGAGGAACCUUACCCGGGCUUGAACUGCAGGCGUACGAUACAGAGAUGUUGAGGCCCUUCGGGGCGCCUGUGGAGGUGCUGCAUGGUUGUCGUCAGCUCGUGCCGUGAGGUGUCGGCUUAAGUGCCAUAACGAGCGCAACCCCUUUCUCCAGUUGCCAUCAGGUAAUGCUGGGCACUCUGGAGACACUGCCACCGUAAGGUGUGAGGAAGGUGGGGAUGACGUCAAAUCAGCACGGCCCUUACGUCCGGGGCGACACACGUGUUACAAUGGUGGGUACAGAGGGCAGCUACCUGGUGACAGGAUGCAAAUCUCGAAAACCCAUCUCAGUUCGGAUCGGAGUCUGCAACUCGACUCCGUGAAGUUGGAUUCGCUAGUAAUCGCGCAUCAGCCAUGGCGCGGUGAAUACGUUCAGGGGCCUUGCACUCACCGCCCGUCAAG
rnacentral:rRNA from 1 species